AAUAGAAAAUCAACAGCCUCCCUCACGAUGCUUGUCACUUGGGCAAUUUGGAACGAGCGCAAUGCUAAGGUCUUCCGUCACAAAAGCGCUCCUCCGAUAAUCUUGCUCAACCUCAUCAAGGAUGAGGGAAGGCUUUGGGUGACCGCGGGUGCCAAAAAGCUUGGUGGUUCUUAUUUUGGAAGAGUAAUCUUUUAUGUCGUAUUGGGGUCGGUUGUAACAAACUCUAUCUCUUCUUAUUUAUUCGAUGAAGCAAAUCAUAUGUCUCCGUUAAAAAAAAACUAA
rnacentral:rRNA from 1 species